rnacentral:rRNA from 1 species
AUUGAACGCUGGCGGCAUGCUUUACACAUGCAAGUCGAACGGUAACAGGCCGCAAGGUGCUGACGAGUGGCGAACGGGUGAGUAAUGCAUCGGAACGUGCCCAGUCGUGGGGGAUAACUGCUCGAAAGAGCAGCUAAUACCGCAUACGAUCUAUGGAUGAAAGCGGGGGACCGUAAGGCCUCGCGCGAUUGGAGCGGCCGAUGUCAGAUUAGGUAGUUGGUGGGGUAAAGGCUCACCAAGCCAACGAUCUGUAGCUGGUCUGAGAGGACGACCAGCCACACUGGGACUGAGACACGGCCCAGACGCCUACGGGAGGCAGCAGUGGGGAAGUUUGGACAAUGGGGGCAACACUGAUCCAGCAAUGACGCGUGCAGGAAGAAGGCCUUCGGGUUGUAAACUGCUUUUGUACGGAACGAAACGGUGUGGGUUAAUACCCUGGGCUAAUGACGGUACCGUAAGAAUAAGCACCGGCUAACUACGUGCCAGCAGCCGCCGUAAAAC